rnacentral:misc_RNA from 1 species
GAUGAAGAACGCAGCGAAAUGCGAUAAGUAAUGUGAAUUGCAGAAUUCAGUGAACCAUCGAAUCUUUGAACGCACAUUGCGCCCGGCAGUAAUCUGCCGGGCAUGCCUGUCCGAGCGUCAUUUCUCCCCUCGAGCGCAGCUUUUCCCCCCGGGGGAGGGCCGCGCCCGGUGUUGGGGCGCUACGGAGGAGCCCAGCGCUCCCCCGUAGGCCCCGAAAUGUAGUGGCGGUCCCGCCGCGGCGCCCCCUGCGUAGUAGUUUUACAACUCGCAUCGGGUCCCGGCGGAGGCCAGCCGUCAAACCCCCCAACUUCAAUAGUUUGACCUCGGAUCAGGUAGGGUUACCCGCUGAACUUAAGCAUAUCAAUAAGCGGAGGA